UCGCGCUGUCCUUUUUUUUUUAUAGUAAAUUACUUCAAGAAGCAGGUACAAACUGAAGAAGGCAAGGUAGUAACUCCCGAUCAUAUUCUUAUUUAUGAAGAAAAUAAAGGAGAUCGAAUGCUAUUGUCUAUUAUCGUUGAUGUGCCAUGGGAGAUGUUUGUCAACACCGUGAAAAGGUUGUAUAUCAUCAGUGGCUCUAGGGCAUGACUACCUGAUUUUCCUUUUAUUAAAGCUUGCUGCAAGUGAAGUUAAAUUAGCAAAUCUUAAGAAAAUUA